CCUACGGGAGGCUGCAGUGAGGAAUAUUGGUCAAUGGGCGAGAGCCUGAACCAGCCAAGUCGCGUGAAUGAUGAAGGAUCUAUGGUUUGUAAACUUCUUUUAUAUGGGAGUAAAGUGAGGAACGUGUUCCUUUUUGUAUGUACCAUAUGAAUAAGCAUCGGCUAACUCCGUGCCAGCAGCCGCGGUAAUACGGAGGAUGCGAGCGUUAUCCGGAUUUAGUGGGUUUAAAGGGUGCGUAGGUGGUUAAUUAAGUCAGAGGUGAAAGUUUGUGGCUCAACCAUAAAAUUGCCGUUGAAACUGGUUGACUUGAGUAUAGGUGAGGUAGGCGGAAUGCGUGGUGUAGCGGUGAAAUGCAUAGAUAUCACGCAGAACUCCGAUUGCGAAGGCAGCUUACUAAACUAUAACUGACGCUGAGGCACGAAAGCGUGGGGAGCAAACAGGAUUAGAUACCCUGGUAGUC
rnacentral:rRNA from 1 species